GAGCGAGAAGUUACUUCGGUAGCUAGUAAAGCGGCGGACGGGUGAGUAACGCGUAGGAAUCUACCUUUCAGCGGGGGAUAGCUCGGGGAAACCCGAAUUAAUACCGCAUACACCCUAAGGGGGAAAGAGGGCCUAUCCUUGGAAGCUCUCGCUGUUAGAUGAGCCUGCGUGAGAUUAGUUUGUUGGUGGGGUAAUGGCCUACCAAGACUACGAUCUCUAGCUGGUCUGAGAGGACGAUCAGCCACACUGGGACUGAGACACGGCCCAGACUCCUACGGGAGGCAGCAGUAGGGAAUAUUGGACAAUGGGGGCAACCCUGAUCCAGCUAUGCCGCGUGUGUGAAGAAGGCUCUAGGGUUGUAAAGCACUUUAGGUAAGGACGAAAAGAAUAUAGUUAAUACCUAUAUUCCGUGACUUAACUUACAGAAUAAGGACCGGCUAACUCCGUGCCAGCAGCCGCGGUAAUACGGAGGGUCCAAGCGUUAAUCGGAAUUACUGGGCGUAAAGCGCGCGUUGGCGGUUUGUCAAGUUGGAUGUGAAAUCCCUGGGCUCAACCUAGGAACUGCAUUCAAAACUUAUAGACUAGAGUACGAUAGAGGAGAGUAGAAUUCCUGGUGUAGCGGUGAAAUGCGUAGAAUUCAGGAGGAAUACCAAUGGCGAAGGCAACUCUCGGAUCGACACUGACGCUGAGGUGGAAAGCGUGGGUAGCAACGGGUAGAUACCCGGUGUCAGCCGUACGGAGAACUAGCG
rnacentral:rRNA from 1 species